CCUGGUUGAUCCUGCCAGUAGUCAUAUGCUUGUCUCAAAGAUUAAGCCAUGCAUGUGUAAGCACACACUGUUUUAAAAGUGAAGCCGCGAAUGGCUCAUUACAACAACCACAGUUUAUUAGAACUUACAAUCAUGGAUAACUGUGGUAAUUGUAGAGCUAAUACACGCACAAAAACUUCAACUGAAUUGGUUGAAGUGCUUUUAUUAGAACAAAAACCGAACGGCGUUUGACGAAUGUUGAACGUCGAAACUGUUUGGUGAAUCUGAAUAACUAUUUCUGAUCGCAUGGUCUAGCACCGGCGACAUCACUUUCAAGUGUCUGCCUUAUCAACCUUCAAUGGUAGUCUAUGCGACUACCAUGGUGAUAACGGGUAACGGAGAAUCAGGGUUCGACUCCAGAGAGGGAGCCUGAGAAACGGCUACCACAUCCAAGGAAGACAGCAGGCGCGCAAAUUACCCACUCCUAGCUUGGGGAGGUAGUGACGAAAAAUAACGAGACGAUUCUCGUUUGAGAAACGUGAUUGAAAUGAGUACGCUUUACACACGCUUACGAGUAGCAAUUGGAGGGCAAGUCUGGUGCCAGCAGCCGCGGUAAUUCCAGCUCCAAUAGCGUAUAUUAAAGUUGCUGCGGUUAAAACGCUCAUAGUUGAAUUGUGGUCUUAGACAACAGUCCCCCUACAUAGGUGUGGCACGGUUGCUCGAGAUCUUCAUUCGUGGUUGCUGUUGUUGCUCUUCAUUGAGUGUCAAUGGUGCCUCGAGAUUUUACUUUGAAAAAAUUAGAGUGCUCAAAGCAGGUUGUGAUGCCUGAAUAAUGGUGCAUGGAAUAAUAGAAUACGAUCUCGGUUCUAUUUUGUUGGUUUUCGAACCGGAGAUAAUGAUUGAAAGGAACAGACGGGGGCAUUCGUAUUGCUGCGUUAGAGGUGAAAUUCUUGGAUCGCAGCAAGAUGAACAAUUGCGAAAGCAUUUGCCAAGAAUGUUUUCAUUAAUCAAGAACGAAAGUUAGAGGUUCGAAGGCGAUCAGAUACCGCCCUAGUUCUAACGGUAAACUAUGCCAACCAGCGAUUCGCCGAAGUUCAUUUAAGACUCGGCGAGCAGCUUCCGGGAAACCAAAGUGUUUCGGUUCCGGGGGAAGUAUGGUUGCAAAGCUGAAACUUAAAGGAAUUGACGGAAGGGCACCACCAGGAGUGGAGCCUGCGGCUUAAUUUGACUCAACACGGGAAACCUCACCCGGCCCGGACACUGGAAGGAUUGACAGAUUGACAGCUCUUUCUUGAUUCAGUGGGUAGUGGUGCAUGGCCGUUCUUAGUUGGUGGAGCGAUUUGUCUGGUUAAUUCCGAUAACGAACGAGACUCUACCCUAUUAAAUAGUGACAGUAUUGUAUUUUUUGUGCUGAUCACUUCUUAGAGGGACUGGCAAAUUGAAAGCUGCACGAAAAAGAGCAAUAACAGGUCUGUGAUGCCCUUCGAUGUCCGGGGCUGCACGCGCGCUACAAUGAAAGCGUCAACGUGAGUUACGUCCUUACCUGAAAAGGUUUGGCAAUCGAAUGAAACGUUUUCUUGAAUGGAAUAGGGAAUUGCAAUUGUUUCCCUUGAACGAGGAAUUCCCAGUAAGCGUGAGUCAUUAGCUCGCGUUGAUUACGUCCCUGCCCUUUGUACACACCGCCCGUCGCUACUACCGAUUGGAUGAUUUAGUGAGGUGUUUUGACUGGUGCCAGUAGUCGGAUAUGUAUUCGGCUUCGCGCCGGGAAAUUUCCCAAACCAAAUCAUCUAGAGGAAGUAAAAGUCGUAACAAGGUUUCCGUAGGUGAACCUGCGGAAG
rnacentral:rRNA from 1 species